rnacentral:rRNA from 1 species
AUUGAACGCUGGCGGCAUGCUUUACACAUGCAAGUCGAACGGUAACAGGGAGCUUGCUCCGCUGACGAGUGGCGAACGGGUGAGUAAUGCGUCGGAACGUGCCGAGUAGUGGGGGAUAACGCAUCGAAAGGUGUGCUAAUACCGCAUACGUACUGAGGUAGAAAGUGGGGGACCUUCGGGCCUCACGCUAUUCGAGCGGCCGACGUCUGAUUAGCUAGUUGGUGAGGUAAAGGCUCACCAAGGCGACGAUCAGUAGCGGGUCUGAGAGGAUGGUCCGCCACACUGGGACUGAGACACGGCCCAGACUCCUACGGGAGGCAGCAGUGGGGAAGUUUGGACAAUGGGCGCAAGCCUGAUCCAGCCAUGCCGCGUGUCUGAAGAAGGCCUUCGGGUUGUAAAGGACUUUUGUCCGGGAGCAAAUGCCUGGUGUUAAUAGCACUGGGAGCUGAGAGUACCGGAAGAAUAAGCACCGGCUAACUACGUGCCAGCAGCCGCCGUAACAC